GAUUCUGGCUCAGGAUGAACGCUGGCGGCGUGCCUAAUACAUGCAAGUGAAACGGGUAUCUUCGGAUACCAGUCGCGGACGGGUGAGUAAUACAUAGGCAACCUGCCUUUAUGAGGGGGGAUAACCGAGGGAAACUUUGGCUAAUACCGCAUGAAGACUCUAAGGCAUCUUAGAGGGAUAAAAGUUGGGAAACAACGCAUGGAGAUGGGCUUAUGGCGCAUUAGCUAGUUGGUGAGAUAGAAGCCCACCAAGGUAAUGAUGCGUAGCCGACCUGAGAGGGUGAACGGCCACAUUGGGACUGAGACACGGCCCAAACUCCUACGGGAGGCAGCAGUAGGGAAUUUUCGGCAAUGGGGGGAACCCUGACCGAGCAACGCCGCGUGAAGGGAAAAGAAGGUUUUCGGAUUGUAAACUUCUGUUAUAAGGGAAGAACGGAUUGGAUAGGGAAUGAUCUGAUAGUGACGGUACCUUAUUAGAAAGCCACGGCUAACUACGUGCCAGCAGCAGC
rnacentral:rRNA from 1 species